rnacentral:rRNA from 1 species
GCCCCGGUAAACGGCGGCCGUAACUAUAACGGUCCUAAGGUAGCGAAAUUCCUUGUCGGGUAAGUUCCGACCUGCACGAAUGGCGUAAUGAUGGCCAGGCUGUCUCCACCCGAGACUCAGUGAAAUUGAACUCGCUGUGAAGAUGCAGUGUACCCGCGGCAAGACGGAAAGACCCCGUGAACCUUUACUAUAGCUUGACACUGAACAUUGAGCCUUGAUGUGUAGGAUAGGUGGGAGGCUUUGAAGUGUGGACGCCAGUCUGCAUGGAGCCGACCUUGAAAUACCACCCUUUAAUGUUUGAUGUUCUAACGUUGGCCCGUAAUCCGGGUUGCGGACAGUGUCUGGUGGGUAGUUUGACUGGGGCGGUCUCCUCCUAAAGAGUAACGGAGGAGCACGAAGGUUGGCUAAUCCUGGUCGGACAUCAGGAGGUUAGUGCAAUGGCAUAAGCCAGCUUGACUGCGAGCGUGACGGCGCGAGCAGGUGCGAAAGCAGGUCAUAGUGAUCCGGUGGUUCUGAAUGGAAGGGCCAUCGCUCAACGGAUAAAAGGUACUCCGGGGAUAACAGGCUGAUACCGCCCAAGAGUUCAUAUCGACGGCGGUGUUUGGCACCUCGAUGUCGGCUCAUCACAUCCUGGGGCUGAAGUAGGUCCCAAGGGUAUGGCUGUUCGCCAUUUAAAGUGGUACGCGAGCUGGGUUUAGAACGUCGUGAGACAGUUCGGUCCCUAUCUGCCGU